AAAAGGAGUUGCUGCAAUCUUUCAGGUUUUACUUUUAUUUGUUUUUGGGUAUGUGUGUAUAGUUGGAGCCACACACAAUUUACUAACCAGUUUCACUAACAUUGAAGGUUGAAAUUAGAUGGGAUUCUAAAAAUUCUAGCCAUGGCUGGUAUAUUUCUUUAGCCAAGUGGCUGAAAUUUCUAUAAAUGAUUCCAACCAUAGAGCCCUUAACACAUGUUAAAGGCAUUUAUCCAUGUGUUUAGGUACUCCACAGUAAAAACAAACUUGGGCCGAGCUUAAUUUUAUGCUAACAGUCCCACCUGUUUGCAGGAAUUACAACAUUCCAAGGCAGCUGCACCUUUAGAACAAGACUGUUUUUAGAUCUGUACAGAACGAAAUUUUUGGGAACAACUCUGCCCCUAAACUGACCUUGAUGCCUCAAUGCCACUCAGCUUUGUGUUAAAACGAUUCGUUUUCUACUUGCACCUUUUGUUCAAUCAUUGCCUAAAUUCUAUGUUUUUUUUGGUUGUUGAGAGAGAGCCUAAACAACAGGAAAGGAAACUCUGAAUCUUAUGUUUUGGAUUUCAGAAAUGUAAAACUAAUAUUCGUCUUUGUCAAAAUUUGUAUGGCGCUUUUUAUUUGUUUAUUUUUUUCUUGUGGCCUUUUCUCCCUUCUCUAUUUCUUGGUCUCUAAUAUUGAUAAUUUGAAUGUGCAGAGUAUGAAUUUUUAGCUCUGGGUUUUUGUAAAUUUGAUUGAGAUUCAUUGUUAUUUGUGACAGUGUGUCAAAUUAAUUCAUGUUGGUAUGUCAUAUUGUUGAACAUUGAUCUUGGUAUAAGGGUAGUUGUUAUUUAUUGCUUAUAAAAAAAAAUGGUGAUUAUUGUGCAUUAUUAAUAGUAAUAGCUGCUGUACAGAGUUCUAUACUUGGUUGUCUAGUUCAUUGGGGCAAUAAGGAAAUUAAUGGCUGAUGAUUUUAGGAGAGUUUAUUUUUGUUGUGGUGCUUGUUGUUUCUAGCAAAAUAAAUAAUAAACGGCUAAUCUUUGUGGUUCAAAUCCUAUGGUCCUUGUUGAGCGGUUACCCUUGACCCAAUCCUUUUGUCUAAUUCACUUAAUGCUUUAUGUUUGUAAACAUUGAUCCCAGAAUAGGCAAAGGUGAAACGAGUCAAAAACUUAACAACUUCUUUCAUGCGUUAAAUUAUCAUUUAAAAAAAAUAAAAAUAAAAAUUUAACAUGAGAGGGCCCCAAGCAGGCUGGAAUUGUAAGUCGUACAUGGUUUUUCUAAGCAUUUGUUAUUGGAUUUAAAAACAAUCCUAAGCAGCUCAUUAGGUGCUUUUAUUUCCAGAGUUGGAAGAUUAUUUGUUGGGAAAAUUGCAAAUAAGUGGUGUCUUCACAAAAUAUUUACAAAUUCAUCAAAAAGUUUAUAACUUUAAUUAUUGAAGUUGAUAAAGUUACCACCGAUUUGUAUUUUUUUUAGAACAUGCGCUGAAGUGCAAUUUUCUCAUUUUUUUCAUAAAAAACAAGACUUAAUUUUAUGCUAAAUAUGUGUGAAUAUGUGAAUUGUUGCUGAAUGAAAUUCAUUCCCCAUCAUUUGUGAAAACCAUGAAUUGACACUCAAAUGCUUUCAUGUUGGAGCUCUUUCAUUUGGUCAAAUAAAAGAAAACUACAAAAGCCUUUUGGCUUAUAUAUUGCUAUUGUUUCUAAAUUAAAUUGAAUUUUUAUUAUUUUCUAAGGAGUUGUAUAAUCUUUUAUAACAAUAUUUGCAUCUGUUUUUGUUUUCAUUCAGGUCAUUGACAGGUCAUUUGGCUUUGAUACUGCUGUUGAGGAAGCUCAGCGAGCCAUCGAUGCUGCGCAUGUUGAAGCUGAAAGUGUUGAGAAUGGUGUUGGUGUAGUGAAGCUAAUGGGCCGCUACAUUGUAUUCAAUGUAGAAAUCGCUAAUAUCAAAAGCUGAAAGUUUGAAUGAGAUGAGGAACAUCACAUGCCUUCCUAUAACUGAAGUAAGGAUGUCAUGGUUAGCCGCGAUCACCGACUCUAAGUUGGGGUGAGAGUGAAGCCCCAUGUAAACUAUGUAAUGUUGCAAACAAAGCAUUCCAAAAUGAAUCAUUUCAUUUCAAGUGUGGUUUCUUAUCUCACAGAGGCUUCAUUGCAAUGUAUGCUACACUUGCCAGCCGAGAUGUGGACUGUUGUUUGAUUCCAGAAUCACCCUUCUUUCUGGAAGUGGUAGUGGAUGUAAUAGAUAUUGGUGAACAUGUUCUAAAACUGGUUAAUUUUGUUGUUUGGAAAUAUUGGAAAAGGCAAUAGCAACUCCUCCAACUGUUUCACCAAUAUGGUGUUCCCCAUUACUUGAGCCAGAUGAACAUGGCAUUAGUGAAUCGUCUUCACAGUUGCUGAUAAUAUAUUAGUGAAUCGUCUUCACGCUUCAUGCUCCAUUGUCUACUCACUUAUCUGUGUCGAGCUUCUUUAUUUUUGAAAAACCUUGUUCUAUGUUUUUCUUUGAAGGUACUGCUCAUUUCCUUAUUAGAAGAAUAAAGAAGCAUGUCCUAGACAAAACUACUCCUAUACAGGACUUCAUUUCCUUACUGCUCAUUUUCUUUGAGUUCACUUUGUCAUAAAUAAAUCAAUAAAUAAAUAAAUAUAUAUAUAUAUAUAUAUUAUCAUUUUUAACUAUACAAAACAAGAGGUGAGGUUGGGUUGGUGUCCAUAUUGCCAGUGAAGCCAAAAAGGAGACAAAACUACAAGCAUGAGAGUUAGCUAUCAUUU